GAUGAACGCUGGCGGUAUGCUUAACACAUGCAAGUCGAACGGUCUCUUAGGAGAUAGUGGCGGACGGGUGAGUAACGCGUGAGAAUCUGGCUUUAGGUCUGGGACAACCACUGGAAACGGUGGCUAAUACCGGAUGUGCCGAAAGGUGAAAGAUUAAUUGCCUAGAGAUGAGCUCGCGUCUGAUUAGCUAGUUGGUAGGGUAAGAGCUUACCAAGGCGACGAUCAGUAGCUGGUCUGAGAGGACGAUCAGCCACACUGGGACUGAGACAC
rnacentral:rRNA from 1 species